GAUGAACGCUGGCGGCGUGCCUAAUACAUGCAAGUCGAGCGAACAGACGAGGAGCUUGCUCCUCUGACGUUAGCGGCGGACGGGUGAGUAACACGUGGAUAACCUACCUAUAAGACUGGGAUAACUUCGGGAAACCGGAGCUAAUACCGGAUAAUAUAUUGAACCGCAUGGUUCAAUAGUGAAAGACGGUUUUGCUGCCACUUAUAGAUGGAUCCGCGCCGCAUUAGCUAGUUGGUAAGGUAACGGCUUACCAAGGCGACGAUGCGUAGCCGACCUGAGAGGUGGAUCGGCCACCCUGGAACUGAAACACGGGCCAGACCCCUAGGGGGGGCAGCAGUAGGGAAUCUUCCGCAAGGGGCGAAAGCCUGACGGAGCAACGCCGGGGGGGUGAUGAAGGUCUUCGGAUCGUAAAACUCUGUUAUUAGGGAAGAAAAAAUGUGUAAGUAACUAUGCACGUUUUGACGGUACCUAAUCAGAAAGCCACGGCUAACUAAGU
rnacentral:rRNA from 1 species